rnacentral:rRNA from 2 species
UACGUAGGGGGCAAGCGUUGUCCGGAAUCAUUGGGCGUAAAGAGCGUGUAGGCGGCCAGAUAAGUCCGCUGUGAAAUCUCGAGGCUCAACUUCGAGCUGUCGGUGGAAACUGUCUGGCUAGAGUCCGGAAGAGGAGAGUGGAAUUCCUGGUGUAGCGGUGAAAUGCGCAGAUAUCAGGAAGAACACCCGUGGCGAAGGCGGCUCUCUGGGACGGUACUGACGCUGAGACGCGAAAGCGUGGGGAGCGAACAGG